rnacentral:rRNA from 1 species
ACGCUCGACACCUACGGGAGGCAGCAGUCGGGAAUAUUGCGCAAUGGAGGAAACUCUGACGCAGUGACGCCGCGUAUAGGAAGAAGGUUUUCGGAUUGUAAACUAUUGUCGUUAGGGAAGAGAAAGGACAGUACCUAAGGAGGAAGCUCCGGCUAACUACGUGCCCGCAGCCGCGGUAAUCUGAGCGGGCUGGCAAGGC